rnacentral:rRNA from 1 species
UACGGAGGGUGCAAGCGUUAUCCGGAUUCACUGGGUUUAAAGGGUGCGUAGGUGGGUUGAUAAGUCAGUGGUGAAAUCCCCGAGCUUAACUUGGAAACUGCCGUGGAUACUAUCAAUCUUGAAUAUCGUGGAGGUAAGCGGAAUAUGUCAUGUAGCGGUGAAAUGCUUAGAGAUGACAUAGAACACCAAUUGCGAAGGCAGCUGGCUACGCGGAUAUUGACACUGAUGCACGAAAGCGUGGGGAUCAAACAGG